AAGAAGGAAAACCUGUUCGACGUUCUUCCUUCCCUGCUCUUGUCCGGUGGAACGAACCAAAAAAUUCUUGGUGACCCUUCCCAUUCCUCCCCUGUUUUCUUCUCCCUCUCUCUUUCAUGCACGGACACAGUUUCAGUUUUUUCAUUUGAUUUUGCUAUACUUUUGUUGCAUUCUCUGUCAUUCUUCAAUGCUAAAGAAACCCUUUCAUCUUCUUUCUCUUCCUCUCUCCCAUGAAUUCUUUCUUUAUUUGAUUUUGGCAAGCAAAUUUGCUCUUCCUAGUUCCUCCUCGGUCACCUUUUUUUGGCCCCUCCCUUUCUUUCUCUCUUCCACGAAUGGGGUCUAGAUGUUGUUCUUUCUCUGCUUACACGUUUUGAGGUUGUCAAGAAGGAAAGCAAAAAAAAGUAUAUAUUGAGUUCGUGGGCAGUCCCAUUGACAAUGGAAAGAAUAUGAUUAUGAGGGGCGAGCCUCAUUCUCCGAGAGACCGACUUGGAGCUUCAAAAUCCUGGUUUGAUUGCAAUCGUUGCAGCAGAUAGCGAUUUUCUAGAGAGCAACUACAGGGAAAGCUCCCUCUCAACCUUUUGCCGAUCAGUAGCACUAACAGUAACCAAACUCUUUCCCACUCCCUUUUCCUCCUGAUUCCUCCUCCGUCUCAUUUGAUUUUUCCUUUUUGUGUUUUUCGUUCUUAUGUUUUGCCCCAAUCGCCUUCAUCUUCAAGUUGCAUAGAUCAUGCCCAAUCUGCCGGAAGUGCACCCCUUCAAUGGCUGCUAUAUUCGUGAUUCUCUCCACAGCCAAUACAUGGAGGCCGUACUUUCAUCUAAACACAAGGCACCCAACCAGAGCCGAAAGUUGUUCUAGACGCCAGUCUUCAUUACUGAGAGUGAGAGGAUGUGCUUGCAGGCACGAUGUAGCUUCCAAACGAGCUGCACUUGCUAUCCAUAUAUUAUGGAAUUGUAUAACCUGCAGUCUCAAUGGCACAUAUUAUUUGCAUAUAUAACAGAAGCAAUAUGUGGAAAUGGAACCGCAGUCUCAAUGUCUGAGGCAAAAUCAAUCAGUUCCUCGCCAACAAUAGAUAGACAGAUGGAAGUCCUUUCCUUUGAGUGGAAAUUUCUCAGGUCUUAUUUAAUUGCGUUGACGAUUGGUGAAUUGGUUGGCAAUUUCUAGCACUGCAACUGGGAUAAUAGCGAUAAUAGGUACUUAUGAUGGCCGGGCUGUUUGAGUGUUUCAGUAUCACUGAGUAGGGACUUGUGCCUGGAAAACUGCAAUUGCAGAAAAGUGUAGAUUUCUUUUUUUUUAAUACCCAGAGGAUUGGUCGUAGAAAUUGGCUAGAAUUGUAGGGUAGAUAUUUGUUGCAAGGUCCAAGCUGAUGUCUCUAGGGGCUAUCAUUUGGUGGACGGUUCCUGUAUCAACACAUGUUGAUAGAUGCCUAUGGUAGCUAUUUGACUCCAAACGCCAUGAAUGGAUCCUUGAUAUGAUCUCCAGAUUCUUUUCCUAAAUAUAUAGACUUCUUAUACCUAUUUCUUGGAAUCUGAUUUGCCUCAAUAACAGAAUUUCAUGAAUUUUGGUAUAGUUUGAUAGUUUGGAAACAUUGAACGGGAAUUAUCUUUCCUAGUUUAAUAGCAUGGGAUGGAAUUGAUGGCAACAACCGCCUGUCAUUUUUCUUUUCAAAUUCUUUAUCAUGUAACUGAUGCUCAUCACUGUUUCUGUGGUAUGCAUAUGUUAUGGAAUUGUAUAACCCGCAGUCUUCAUUACUGAUUGAUUUGGCCUCGACAUGGAGACUGCGGGUUAUACAAGUCCACAUACUGAAUUCUGAGCUAUAUGUGGAAGAAUGCUUCUGUGGUAUGCAUAUAUUAUGGAAUUGUAUAACCCGCAGUCUUCAUUACUGAUUGAUUUGGCCUCGACAUGGAGACUGCGGGUUAUACAAUUCCACAUACUGAAUUCUGAGCUAUAUGUGGAAGAAUGCUUCUGUGUUAAUUUGGAUGAUUAGUCCGCUUUACAUCUGUUCUUUCUGGCUUUUCUAGCUGAUUCUGGCAGCUCGUAAAUAUCCUUGUCUCAGGCACAUGAUAUUCAUGGUCAUGUGCCAUUCAUGGUCAAAUGUUGAAGAACACUAUCCUUCACUUAUUACAGGUACGGAAGAUUAACGCACUCUCCUAUAUGUGGAUAUCAGCACAACCUCUUUCUGGAUUUUGAACUCACCGAGCUACUCUGUCGUUGGCAUGAACCUGAAAAAUGUUAUGCACAUAAAGCACUAAGGAUUUUUUUUUUUCUUGUCCGUCUUUUCCGUCUAACAGACUGAGUUAGAUAUGCGACUCUGAAGGAGCUUGUGUAGCCUUGUCUGUGUAUUAAAGCUGAUGAGAAUUUGUGUAUCAUUGCCCAUCAUUUUUGCAGAUGCAUGCUUGAUGAGCUGUGACCUCUCCAAGGCUGCCCUUCGUACUGCACACUUGCAGACGUUAUUCUAACCUUGAAGGGGCAAACUUAAAGAUAGAGUGCCACUUCAACCAAUUCUAUUCCUAUCUCAGACCGGGCUUAAGAAAAUGCCAAGAAUUGGAACUGAAGGAGUGCAUGCAAGGGCACUGACACAAGAAGAACGGUGAACAUGGUCACGGUUAUUGCAAAAAGGAUCGAUGGUUGUUUUUGGCAGCACAGAGAGUUGCAGCCUUGUAGAUUUGAAACAAGAACCGACUAUCUAUCAAGCCCCAUCCCAACCAUUGUACCAACCUCCUUCGGGAUGAGUUCAAUGGUUGUUGAAGAACACGGUUUGAUACAGGGCACCAUUGAUGCUAAUGGUGGUCAGAAUAAAGUCGAGAUGUAUAGGUGAUUCUUGGUGAGUGGGAUUUCCCAACACCUAGUAGAAGGCCAAAGCCACCACCCACUCCCUCAUCUUUUUAUGGUACAUGACAUGCUUUGGUGCUUAGAGGUUUCAUUCAUGCUCCAUUUUAACUUGAGUGAUGCCAACUCCUUUCACCCCCACUCUUUUUGCAUGGAGAGUUGAUGAUAUGAGAAUUUGAAACAGUGAUUGACCACCUACCAGCACCCAGUAGGGAUGUCAACGGAUCAGAUUCAGAUCAAAUAUACCUUUUACCA